rnacentral:rRNA from 1 species
CCUACGGGGGGCAGCAGUGAGGAAUAUUGGUCAAUGGGCGCGAGCCUGAACCAGCCAAGUCGCGUGAGGGAUGAAGGUUCUAUGGAUCGUAAACCUCUUUUAUAAGGGAAUAAAGUGUGGGACGUGUCCUAUUUUGUAUGUACCUUAUGAAUAAGGAUCGGCUAACUCCGUGCCAGCAGCCGCGGUAAUACGGAGGAUCCGAGCGUUAUCCGGAUUUAUUGGGUUUAAAGGGUGCGUAGGCGGCAUUUUAAGUCAGCGGUGAAAUGUUGGGGCUCAACCAGAGAAUUGCCGUUGAAACUGGGGUGCGUGAGUAUGUGUGAGGCAGGCGGAAGGCGUGGUGUAGCGGUGAAAUGCUUAGAUAUGACGCAGAACCCCGAUUGCGAAGGCAGCCUGC